AUCAACUUAUUGGCAUCAUGCAUUCCAGAUUUGGUAACAUUAAUUUCCAUGACUACACUUAGAACAAAAUAAUUAUAAUCAGUAAACAAAAUCCCCAUAAAUCUUCUCAAAGAUGUUUUGCUGAUUUACUUUCCUUUUAGACAUAAUUUCAUAAGGAAAAAAAUAAAAACGUAAUAAUCUCAAAGAAUCCAAAGAAAUUAUUAUUCCUCCAUGCAACACAAAAUAAGAUACUAUAUAUUUUAAAUCCAUAAGCUAUAAAUUUCCACCAACAUAGUUAAUUAGAUAUAAAGAGAUGGCAAAGUUUUCAUUCAAUUUGUUUAUAUUUGCUGUCAUCUUAAUCUUUGCAACUCACUCAGAGAUGAUGGCGGAGGCAAGAGGACCUGUUAUUUCGUGUAGAUGCAGCAAAACCGAAGACUGUCAGGGUAUUUGUGCCGUGUGCCCCAACUAUAGCUGCAUUAAUAACCUUUGUACUUGCCUUUCAAACGCACCUCCAUUUCCAUAGUCUUAGAAUCUACACACUCCAACAGUUGAAUGAAAUGGUGGGAUUUUUUUUGUGUAAUUUUAAAUAAAUUAUCAUGCAAUGGAUCUAAUAAGAAAAAAUAUUGUAAUUA